rnacentral:lncRNA from 1 species
CAUUUAUGUCUUCUCCCUCAAUUCACAGGAACAAACUCAGGAGCAAAACUUCAUCGCAAAAGGUGUAGUGAAAUUAUUAAUAUGUGGUCAAUCAAAGCAACUGCUGAGAGCCAAGAUUCUAACUCUCAACUAUAUGAAAGACGCCAGUCCAGUCUAGAUCCACAAGUGUAUUCCUGCAGAUCUUGCAUACUGACGAAAGUACUGUCAUCAGCUGUCUGAGGGACCCCAGGAAGAGCUGACUCACCAAAGAGUGCAGUUUCCACAUCCUGAUUAUUUUCCCUCCUUACCCUGACCAAUCAACAACCUGUAUUUUCCAGUCCCUUGCCCUCCAUGAUCCUUUUAAUAUCUCCAGCCCAAAACUCCCCAGGGAGAUGUAUUUAAAGGUGUCCUCCCAUCUCCUCACUUGGCACCUUUCAAUCAUUAAACUUUUUCUCUGCUGCAAUCCCUGCUGACACACUGUAAUGGUCUGUUCCGUGCUGCAAGUAUACAAACUGAUUGGUCUAUAACAAUGCAAUAAAUAAUCAGCAAGUUGUUAUUUACAUCACACCAUGCACAAUAUUCUAAAUCCAUUACUAGAAUUUAAGAGACAGCACUACUGAACAAUAGCGUAAACUAAGAAAACUCAAAAAAUGAAGAAAGGAAUUCUAAAUGUAAUCGAGCUAUUAACUACAAAGUACAAUCAAGAAUUCUAGACUUAAUUACAUUUCCAAAAUGAGAUUGUGCUACCAUAUGGUUUUAAAUCUGGUGGGUUCAGACA